UUUUUUUUUUUUUUUUUUUUUUUUUUCCUGUCUUUUUGCCGUUUCUAGGGCCACUCCUGCGGCCUAUGGAGUUUCCCAGGCUAGGGGUCGAAUCAGAGCUGUAGCCGCCAGCCUAUACCAGGGCCACAGCAACACAGGAUCCAAGCCGUGUCUGCAAUCUACACCAUAGCUCAAGGCAAUGCCGGAUCCUUCACCCACUGAGCAAGGCCAGGGAUCGAACCUGCAACCUCAUGGUUCCUAGUCGGGUUCAUUAACCAUUGAGCCACAACGGGAACUCCACAGCCUGUCUUUAUUCAUUCACAUGUUGAUGAACAUUUAGGUUGCUUCCACAUCUUGGCUGUUGUGAAUAGUGCUGCUAUGAACACAGGGGUGCAUGUAUAUUUUUUGAGUGAAGUUUUGUCUGGAUAUAUGUCCAGAAGUGGGAUUGCUGGAUCAUAUGCUAAGUCUAUUUUUCAUUUUUUAAGGAACCUCCAUACUGUUCUCCAUUGUGGCUGUGUUAAUUUACAUUCCCACCAACAGUUCAUUUGUCUCCACACCCUCUCCAGCAAUUAUUAUUUGUAGACUUUUUAAAUGAUUUUUAUUUUUUCUCAUUAUACUAGGUUUACAGUGCUUUGGUAAUUGCUACUGUAGAAGCAAAGUGACCCAGUCAUUCAUAUAUAUUUAUUUUAUUUUUUCUCCCAUUAUCUUCCAUCAUGCUCCAUCACAAUUGACUAGAUAUAUUUCCCUGUGCUAUACAGUAGGAUCUUGUUGCUUAUCCACUCCAAAGGCAAGAGUUUGCAUCUAUUAACCCCAGCCUCCCAGUCCAUCCCACUCACUCCCUCUCCCCCUUGGAAACCAUGAGUCUAUUCUCCAAGUCCAUGAGUUUCUUUUCUGUGGAAAGGCUCAUUUGUGCCAUAUUUUAGAUUCAACAUAUGGUAUUUGUCUUUCUCUUUCUGACUUACUUCACUUAGUAUGAGAGUCUCUAGUUCCAACCAUAUUGCUGAAUGGUAUUAUUUUGUUCUUUUUUAUGGCUGAGUAGUACUCCAUUGCAUAAAUGUACCACAUCUUUGUAAUCCAUUCAUCUGUCGAUGGACAUUUAAGUUGUUUCCAUGUCUUGGCUAUUGUGAAUAGUGCUGCGAUGAACGGAUGAGUGCAUGUGUCUUUUUCAAGGAAAGUUUUGUCUAGAUAUAUGCCCAAGAGCGGGAUUCCUGGGUCAUAUGGUAGUUCUACAUUUAGGUUUCUGAGGUACCUCCAUACUGUUUCCCAUAGUGGUUAUACCAAUUUCCAUUCCCACCAACAGUGUAGGAAGGUACCCUUUUCUCUACACCCUCUCCAAUAUCUGUUAUUUGUUGACUUAUUAAUGAUGGCCAUUCUGACAGAUGGGAGGUGGUACUUCAUAGUAGUUUUGAUUUGCAUAUCUAUUUGUAGACUUUUUGAUAAUGGACAUUCUGACUGGUUUGAGGUGAUACCACAUUGAAGUUUGUUUUUUUUGUUUGUUUGUUUCUUUUCGUUGUUUCCUUUUUAGGGCCACACCUAUAGCAUAUGGAAGUUCCCAGGCUAGGAAUCGAAUUGGAGCUGCAACUGCUGGCCAAUACCACAGCCACAGCAACACCAGAUCUGAGCAGUAGUCUGCAACCCACAUCACAGAUCAGGGCAACAUCAGAUCCUUACCUGAGAGAGGCCAGGGAUCAAACCCACAUCCUAGUGGAUGCUAGUCAGGUUUGUUACUGCUGAGCCACUAUGGGAACUCCCGACACACUGAAGAUUUGAUUUGCAUUUCUCUAAUAAUUAGUGAUGUUGAGCAUCUUUUCAUGUGUCUGUUGGCCAUCUGUAUGUUUUCUCUGGAAAAAUAUCUAUUUAGGUACUGUGCCCAUUUUUGAUUGGGUCUUUUUUAAAAUAUAUAUAUGUUAAGCUGUAUGACAUGUUUGUAUAUUUUGGAAAUCAAUCCCUUUUGGAAUCAUCAUUUGCAAAUAUUUUCUUUCAGUCUGCAGGUUGUCUUUUCAUUCUGUUUAUGGUUUCCUUUGUUGGGAAAAAGCUUUUAAAUUCAAUGAGGUCUCAUUUGUUUAUUUUUGUUUUUAAUAUCCGUUAGGCUAGGAGAUAGAUCCAAAAAAAUACUGCUAUGAUAUGUCAAAGAGUGUUCUGCCUAUGUCUUCCUCUAGGAGUUUUAUGGUAUCUCUUCUUACAUUUAGGUCUUUAAGUAAUUUUGAGUUUAUUUUUGCAUAUGAUGUUAGAAAAUGUCCUAAUUUCAUUCUUUAACAUGUGGCUGUCCAGUUUUCCCAGCGCCACUUAUUGAAGACACUGUCUUUUCUCCAUUGUUAUGUUAUAUUCUUGCCUUCUUUGUCAUAGAUUAAUUGACCAUGAGUGUGUGAGUUUAUUUCUAGUUCUAUCUUGUUCCAUUGAUGUAGGUAUCUAUUUUUGUGCC
ensembl:lncRNA